rnacentral:rRNA from 1 species
GACUAGCUAACUGAAAUCUCAAUUUCUAUGCUUAGGCAAAGAAAACCUAAUCCAUUACUAUAAUGUUUUAGGGCUAUCCAGGAUAAGGUUAGGGAAAAUAAUGAUAUUACCUUUCUAUAGUGUUGUCAAAACUUGGUGCCAGAAGACUCGGUAAGGCCGGAAACGCGAACGUUAAUCUUCUUAAUCAGGCGUAAAGGGUUCGNAGGCGGCUUUAAAAAUCUUACACGCCCUCCCGGGGGAGAGAUACAAAUAUACAGUAUAAAUAAAAUUAMAUUGUNUACAUUAAAAUGUAAAUUACUGUAUCUUUAAGUAUAAUUAGUGUAAGGUACAACUUAAAGCUAGAAUCAGGUAGAGUNUUUAUAGACAAAAUCAAGGCCAGCGAAGUAGGGGUUUUAUCUCUAGAGAUCCGCCCGAGGACUAAAUUGCGAAAGCUAUUUUUACAUUACCGAAUUUGACGCUGAGGAACGAAGGUGAGUGAAAGGAAACAGGAUUUGAUACCCCACUACCCUCUCUGUCAACGAUGAAUGGUAAUUAUUAGUUGGGGCUUUAUACCUAUAACUAGUUUUAAUGUUAACACGUUAACCAUUCCGCCUUGUGAGUACGAUUGNAAANUUGAAAANAAAAAAAUUAGUCAG